UGUGGUAACGUCACUCGGGAGGAAAUGAAUCAGUCCCCAGACAGCAUUUAUCUCUGUGCUGGAUCCGUUUUCGAAUCACCAGAUUCGCGUAGCAGUCACACUCACUAUGCACCUCUGCGCCAGCUUUGCAGCAUAUUUGUCCACAAGCUCUGACUGACAGUCCGUCAGAAAGGUCCGUAUCUGAUCCGGAGCAGCAGCGCAGACCGGACCCGCGCUUUUUUAAAUCUCGCAGAUGCGCGUGUACGUGCCUCAGUAAGAGUUAAAUGAAGAGUCACACAACAACCAGUGAAGACCUGCUUGUGGUUCUUGGUUUUGUUCUAUUCCCUCUGCUUAUGCUAGUCAAGUUGAGGUCAAGCCGCCCAUCAUCUCUUGCAGACCGAGGCAGGAGGAGUCUCUGGGGAGAUGCUGAAGCCAUCUGUUUGAGGAUGACGCCCCUGAAAACAACACAGUGGAUCAGAGACUGUGAAGAAAACAGACUAGCGGAUUCUUGACCAUAUCAGACCUGAUACCACAUCCAUGUUGGAUACAAAGAAAUCGGCAGGUGUACCUUACUAAUGACAGAGAGGGAAGUGACCAGCUACAAAGUGAGGGCAACAUCCCCCAUGAAGAGGUGGCGGAUAUAUAUGCUACCUGGGAUAACGUCAAGAAAGACUCUCCAGACGAAACUGCCUGGGUCACACUGAGACGGCUGCCUGGUGUUGGUCAGGGAAGGGGACGGAGCUGAUUGGCUGGCAGCAGUCGAGUGGAAAGAACUACAGCAUGUGGAAAGAAUUCCCAUUUCCCUUGACUUGGGGAAAAUGAGCUGCUACAUGGAACCUGACAUCGAUUACAACGGAGCAUAACAGAAUGGUCACAGAAGAUUGCCUUGUAAGCUGUCCGCCUGGAUGAUCUUCUGAAAACAGACGAAAACGAGUCUAGCUGGAGACCCAGGUGCAGGAGAGCUCUUUUACAGACUUCUCUAUAAUUACAUGCAAAAGAGGUACAAUAACGAAAACUCAGCUCAUUGGUAUACAAUUGGAAACAGAUGCUUUUAGUUGAAUAACCAAGCAUUCGCUGCCCACUCCUGCUGGAGGCUGACCUUCUGGUUCCUUGUAAAGUUGUGUUAAUUGUUCCCACUUAACCUUGAUUGGUUUGAAAAACCAGCAGUCAGAUGGUUUUACUUGAAGUCAGCUGAUACCCUUGACCCCAUUGGAGGCCCAUGAAGAUGGUGGCCGGAGUCACAGUGGAUUUUUCUCUUCUGCGCUAUUAUCGCUGCUAAUACUUCCAUUCCUCCCACUCUCGCUCUUGUUGUCCCAUUUCUCCAUCUUGCUCUCAUCUUCUGUCUCUUUCUUUCUUUCUUUCUCUGGCUCGCUUACUCCCUCUCUCCCCUGGCCAAGCUGUCAGCUCAACGGGAAUCACAUCACGCCCCCAAAUGUACUGACAGAUGCCCCAGAGGAGGGAUAAGAGGUACAACAGUAUGUGUGGGGGGGUAUUUUAAGUGGGCUAAAAAUCGUUGGCUCAUCGCUGUCCCGUUGAGCUGCAGUUUAGAUCCAAACUAACAUUGACAUGCUGGUCUUAGUGUCUCUCUCUGCUGUGGGAUGUGAUCUUGUAAUGCCACAAUCUAUUGGUUACAAAUCCUGGGAGCCCUUUAUUUUAUUAUAAUAAUAUUUGGUAACACUUUACAUUGAGUGCACCUUCAUAAUACAUUUAUUAUGCAUUCAUAGAACAUUCAGUGCACCUUCAUAACACCUUA